ensembl:lncRNA
GCUGAGGGCAGUAAUAAGGCUGGGGCAGUAAUGAGUCUUGGGGCAGUAAUGAGGCUGGGCAGUAAUGAGUCUUGGGGCCGUAAUGAGGCUGGGCAGUAAUGAGGCUGGGGCAGUAAUGAGUCUUGGGCAGUAAUGAAUCUUGGGGCAGUAAUGAGGCUGGGCAGUAAUGAGUCUUGGGGCAGUAAUGAGGCUGGGGCAGUAAUGAGUCUUGGGCAGUAAUGAGUCUUGGGGCAGUAAUGAGGCUGGGGCAGUAAUGAGGCUGGGGCAGUAAUGAGUCUUGGGCAGUAAUAAGUCUUGGGGCAGUAAUGAGGCUGGGCAGUAAUGAGUCUUGGGGCAGUAAUGAGGCUGGGGCAGUAAUGAGUCUUGGGGAAGUAAUGAGUCUUGGGGCUGUAAUGAGUCUUGCGGCAGUAAUAAGGCUGGGGCAGUAAUGAGUCUUGGGGCAGUAAUGAGUCUUGGGGCAGUAAUGAGGCUGGGGCAGUAAUGAGUCUUGGGGCAGUAAUGAGGCUGGGCAGUAAUGAGUCUUGG